GACGAACGCUGGCGGCGUGCUUAACACAUGCAAGUCGAACGGUGAAGCGCCUUCCUUUUUGGUGGGUGUGGAUGAGUGGCGAACGGGUGAGUAACACGUGAGUAACCUGCCCCCUUCUUCUGGAUAACCGCAUGAAAGUGUGGCUAAUACGGGAUAUUCUGGGUCUGUCGCAUGAUGGGUCUGGGAAAGAUAUUGUUUCGGUGGGGGAUGGGCUCGCGGCCUAUCAGCUUGUUGGUGGGGUGAUGGCCUACCAAGGCGGUGACGGGUAGCCGGCCUGAGAGGGUGGACGGUCACACUGGGACUGGGACACGGACCAGACUCCUACGGGAGGCAGCAGUGGGGAAUAUUGCACAAUGGGCGAAAGCCUGAUGCAGCGACGCCGCGUGAGGGAUGGAGGCCUUCGGGUUGUGAACCUCUUUCGCCAGUGAAGCAGGCCUGCCUCGUUUGUGGGUGGGUUGACGGUAGCUGGAUAAGAAGCGCCGGCUAACUACGUG
rnacentral:rRNA from 1 species